GGGAUGUGAAGAUGUAUGUUGUUCCUUGUGGUAGCUUUAGUGGAGAGAAAUUAUUGUAAGAAAUUUCUGGGCUUGCGUAUAUCAGGUGGAAUACAGGAGAAGCAUGUAGCAUGUCUGGAUGUUCUGCACCUUCUCUCUCAAGAUGAUCACAGCAGCUUUAGAAAAGGAGCAGCCACCAAUAACUCUGCAGCUCUCACAGGAUGCAAUUAAGUUUAUCUCGGUAUGAGAUAUGUUACAUCCUGCAGAAAGUCUGUGGUAAGACAAGAUGUAUGGAAGAUUCUGAAGCACUGUGCAGAAU